rnacentral:rRNA from 1 species
UAGGGAAUCUUCGGCAAUGGGGGCAACCCUGACCGAGCAACGCCGCGUGAGUGAAGAAGGUUUUCGGAUCGUAAAGCUCUGUUGUAAGAGAAGAACGUGUGUGAGAGUGGAAAGUUCACACAGUGACGGUAACUUACCAGAAAGGGACGGCUAACUACGUGCCAGCAGCCGCGGUAAUACGUAGGUCCCGAGCGUUGUCCGGAUUUAUUGGGCGUAAAGCGAGCGCAGGCGGUUUAAUACGUCUGAAGUUAAAGGCAGUGGCUUAACCAUUGUUCGCUUUGGAAACUGUUAAACUGGAGUGCAGAAGGGGAGAGUGGAAUUCCAUGUGUAGCGGUGAAAUGCGUAGAGAUAUGGAGGAAAACCGGUGGCGAAAGCGGCUCUCUGGUCUGUAACUGACGCUGAGGCUCGAAAGCGUGGGGAGCAAACAGG